rnacentral:rRNA from 1 species
GACGAACGCUGGCGGCGCGCUUAACACAUGCAAGUCGAGCGAAGCGGCGGACGGGUGAGUAACACGUGAGUAACCUGCCUUUUACACAGGGAUAGCCUCGGGAAACCGGGAUUAAAACCUGAUGGUAAAAGAUGGACUCGCGUCCCAUUAGCUAGUUGGUGAGGUAACGGCCCACCAAGGCAACGAUGGGUAGCCGGCCUGAGAGGGUGAACGGCCAAAUUGGAACUGAGAAACGGUCCAAACUCUACGGGAGGCAGCAGUGGGGGAUAGUGCACAAUGGGGGAAACCCUGAUGCAGCAACGCCGCGUGCGGGAUGACGGCCUUCGGGUUGUAAACCGCUUUCAGCCAUGACGCGGUAGUGGCAGAAGAAGCACCGGCUAACUACGUGCCAGCAGCCGCGGUAAUUC